CACGCAUGACACACUGCAUAUCAAUAAGCGGAGGAAAAGAAACUAACAAGGAUUCCCUUAGUAACGGCGAGUGAAGCGGGAAGAGCUCAAAUUUGAAAUCUUCAAGGUUCUACCUUGACGAAUUGUAGUUUAGUAGAAGUGUUUUCUGUUAGUGGAGUGGCAAAAGUUCUUUGGAAUAGGACAUCAUAGAGGGUGAGAAUCCCGUAUUUGGUCAUUCCUUCUAGCGUUGUGAUACACUUUCAAAGAGUCGGAUUGUUUGGGAAUGCAGUCCAAAAUGGGUGGUAAAUUUCAUCUAAAGCUAAAUAUUGGCGAGAGACCGAUAGCGAACAAGUACCGUGAGGGAAAGAUGAAAAGAACUUUGAAAAGAGAGUUAAACAGUACGUGAAAUUGUCAAAAGGGAAGCGUUUGACACCAGUGUUGUUUUUCCGAAAAUCAAUUACGAAUGUUUUGUUUUUAAGGAGUUAUGACUUCAUCGGCUUGCUUCUUUCUUUACGAAACUUUCUUAAUGCACUUUUCGGUUAACAAGUCAACAUCAAUUUCUUUUGUUGUAAAAGGGUAUGAGGAAGGUGGCUUUCUUUUCGGAGAAAGUGUUUAUAGCCUUGUACCUCUGCAAUCGGAGAGAUUGAGGUCUGCAGCGUAGAUCCUUCUGGGGUUAGAUACACUUGUGCUAAGCUAUAGCCUUGUAUAGACAACUUGUUGACUAUGCUCUAGUCAUGUAGCUUACUCGCUUGUGCUAUUUUACCUACGCUUAGGAUGUUGAGUAGCGACAUACGCAC
rnacentral:rRNA from 1 species